CAGCAGCCGCGGGAAUACGAAGGGGGCUAGCGUUGCUCGGAAUGACUGGGCGUAAAGGGCGCGUAGGCGUCGGCCAAAGUCAGACGUGAAAUUCCUGGGCUCAACCUGGGGGCUGCGUUUGAUACUUGGUUGCUUGAGUGGGGAAGAGGGUCGUGGAAUUCCCAGUGUAGAGGUGAAAUUCGUAGAUAUUGGGAAGAACACCGGUGGCGAAGGCGGCGACCUGGUCCUUGACUGACGCUGAGGCGCGAAAGCGUGGGGAGCAAACAGGAUUAGAUACCCCGGUAGUCCCUGUCUCUUAUAC
rnacentral:rRNA from 1 species